GAGCUUUAGCAGCACAUAUACUAAAAUAGGAACAUAGAGAGAAGAUUAGCAUGGCCCCUGCACAAGGAUGACACGCAAACUUGAAAAGCGUUCUGUAUUUUU